UAAGUGUCAGAACACUGCCUGAAAAGGCUCUCUUGAAAAUAUAUGGACGUUCCUAGCUUGGAAUCCACUUGCCCCUGGAAUCGGGCACGAAAGACAAGACUUUCUUGAGCAUAGGGUCAUUUUCUCAGAACUCGAGACUUGACCUUCUUGUCGAAUGCUUUUUUCACUCUCUGCUGAUAUGACUGUCCAUGACACAUGGCAGUUGAUCUCUUCUUUUCGAUCGAAUUCAGCAUCAGUCAACUUGGGACUUUGAGGGUGCCAUUUCCUUUUGUUUUUUUUUUGAUUUCUUUUGAUUUUGCUUUCUUUUGAUUUCUUUUGAUUUUGCACCCUCCUCUUUCUUUUUUCUUUUUUUUCUUUUUUUUCUUCUUUUUUUUUUUAAUGCCCCAGUUGGCUGUUCUGCUGAUUCUCGAGAUGCAGCUGAGUGUGAUCCUCUUUCUUGCUCAAGAAGUCGGGAAAUCUCGUCAGGCAUCCCUUCAACAUCAUCUUCGUCCGCUUCGAAUACAGGGAAUUCAAAAUUGGGAGAUGACG
rnacentral:lncRNA from 1 species